UACGUAGGGGGCAAGCGUUGUCCGGAAUCAUUGGGCGUAAAGAGCGCGUAGGCGGCCCAGUAAGUCCGCUCUGAAAGUCAGGGGCUCAACCCCUGGAUGCGGGUGGAUACUGCUGGGCUAGAGUCCGGAAGAGGUGAGUGGAAUUCCUGGUGUAGCGGUGAAAUGCGCAGAUAUCAGGAGGAACACCGGUGGCGAAAGCGACUCUCUGGACGGCAACUGACGCUGAGGCACGAAAGCGUGGGGAGCAAACAGG
rnacentral:rRNA from 1 species